rnacentral:rRNA from 1 species
AGGACGAACGCUGGCGGCGUGCUUAACACAUGCAAGUCGAACGGUGAACCGGGCUUCGGCCCGGGGAUCAGUGGCGAACGGGUGCGUAACACGUGGGCAACCUGCCCCAGACACUGGGAUAACUCCGGGAAACCGGGGCUAAUACCGGAUACUCCGGUCGAACCUCAUGGUUCGAUCGGGAAAGCUCCGACGGUCUGGGAUGGGCCCGCGGCCUAUCAGCUUGUUGGCGAGGUAACGGCUCACCAAGGCGACGACGGGUAGCUGGUCUGAGAGGACGACCAGCCACACUGGAACUGAGAUACGGUCCAGACUCCUACGGGAGGCAGCAGUGGGGAAUCUUGCACAAUGGGCGAAAGCCUGAUGCAGCGACGCCGCGUGGGGGACGAAUGCCUUCGGGUUGUAAACCCCUUUCGGCAGGGAGAAGCGCAAGUGACGGUACCUGCAGAAGAAGUCCCGGCUAACUACGUGCCAGCAGCCGC